rnacentral:rRNA from 1 species
GACGAACGCUGGCGGCGUGCUUAACACAUGCAAGUCGAACGGAAAGACCCUGCUUUUGUGGGGUGCUCGAGCGGCGAACGGGUGAGUAACACGUGAGUAACCUGCCCUUGACUUUGGGAUAACUUCAGGAAACUGGGGCUAAUACCGGAUAGGAGCUCCUGCUGCAUGGUGGGGGUUGGAAAGUUUCGGCGGUUGGGGAUGGACUCGCGGCUUAUCAGCUUGUUGGUGGGGUAGUGGCUUACCAAGGCUUUGACGGGUAGCCGGCCUGAGAGGGUGACCGGGCACAUUGGGACUGAGAUACGGCCCAGACUCCUACGGGAGGCAGCAGUGGGGAAUAUUGCACAAUGGGCGGAAGCCUGAUGCAGCAACGCCGCGUGCGGGAUGACGGCCUUCGGGUUGUAAACCGCUUUCGCCUGUGACGAAGCGUGAGUGACGGUAAUGGGUAAAGAAGCACCGGCUAACUACGUG